AUUGAACGCUGGCGGCAUGCCUUACACAUGCAAGUCGAACGGUAACAGGUCUUCGGAUGCUGACGAGUGGCGAACGGGUGAGUAAUACAUCGGAACGUGCCUAGUAGUGGGGGAUAACUACUCGAAAGAGUGGCUAAUACCGCAUGAGAUCUACGGAUGAAAGCAGGGGAUCGCAAGACCUUGUGCUACUAGAGCGGCCGAUGGCAGAUUAGGUAGUUGGUGGGAUAAAAGCUUACCAAGCCGACGAUCUGUAGCUGGUCUGAGAGGACGGUCAGCCACACUGGGACUGAGACACGGCCCAGACUCCUACGGGAGGCAGUAGUGGGGAAUUUUGGACAAUGGGCGAAAGCCUGAUCCAGCAAUGCCGCGUGCAGGAUGAAGGCCUUCGGGUUGUAAACUGCUUUUGUACGGAACGAAAAGCCCCGGGUUAAUACCCUGGGGUCAUGACGGUACCGUAAGAAUAAGCACCGGCUAACUACGUGCCAGCCGCCGCCGUAAGAC
rnacentral:rRNA from 1 species